AUUGAACGCUGGCGGCAGGCCUAACACAUGCAAGUCGAACGAGUGGCGGACGGGCGAGCAAUGUCUGGGCAACUGCACGCUGGAGGGGGAUAACUGGUGGAAACGGUAGCCAAUACCGCAUACACUCGGAUGUGCCCUGAUGGGUUUAGCUAGAAGGUGGGGUAACGGCUCACAAAGUCGACGCUCCCCAGCUGGUCUGAGAGGCUGACCAGCCACACUGGAACUGAGACACGGUCCAGACUCCUACGGGAGGCAGCAGUGGGGAAUAUUGCACAAUGGGCACAAGCCUGAUGCAGCCAUGCCGCGUGUAUGAAGAAGGCCUUCGGAUUGUAAAGUACUUUCAGCGAGGAGGCGUUACUCACAGAGGAAGCACCGGCUAACUCCGUGCCAGCAGCCGCGGUAAUAC
rnacentral:rRNA from 1 species